rnacentral:rRNA from 1 species
AACGAACGCUGGCGGCAUGCCUAACACAUGCAAGUCGAACGAGACCUUCGGAUCUAGUGGCGCACGGGUGCGUAACGCGUGGGAACCUGCCCUUAGGUUAGGAAUAACUCCCCGAAAGGGGUGCUAAGACAGGCCAAUGUCUACGGACCAAAGAUUUAUCGCCUUUGGAUGGGCCAGCGUUGGAUUAGCUAGUUGGUAGGGUAAAAGCCUACCAAGGCGACGAUACAUAGCUGGUCUGAGAGGAUGAUCAGCCACACUGGGACUGAGACACGGCCCAGACUCCUACGGGAGGCAGCAGUGCGGAAUAUUGGACAGUGGGCGAAAGCCUGAUCCUGCAAUGCCGCGUGAGUGAUGUAGGCCUUAGGGUUGUAAAGCUCUUUUACCCGUGAUGAUAAUGACAGUACCGGGAGAAUAAGCUCCGGCUAACUCCGUG